GCUUUGUGGUUUGGGCAUUUUCUCAGCAUAUCAUUGAAACUUUCCCAUGCUUCGUAGAGAUAUUCUAAAUCUUCCCGUUGAAAAAAUGAGAUCUCAAUCUUAUGUAU
rnacentral:snoRNA from 1 species